AUGAGAAAGAAUCUGACCUGGUUUACGGUGGGAGAAAUUUAUUUCUCUACUUCUCCGGAGGAGGAGGGUGCGACUUCAGGCCGGCUGAUGCAGGAGGAGGUGCGGAGGGUAGAGUGGUACUACCUCCGUUGGGAGUUCCUUCCGGAUAAUCCCAACGCGGAGCGAGGAGGCAGCGCUUUUUUGGAGGCUUGGCUUCCCGUGCGUUUCCAGGUGGGAGAGUGGAUCUCCCGGAGGCACAAGGUAUGGAAAAUAAUGACCCAUCUUACCAUUGAUGAUAUGUUAUAUUCUAUGAUUUAUGGUAACCAGAAGAAAGUACCACGUGUCUCAGAAGAAAAGGCUUCUGGAACUUCUUAGACCUUCAUUAUUAAAAUAGCCUACACAUCCGUCUCCCUUUAGCUAUGGACAAACUAGAUCACACUUUUUCAGCUUUGUCCUCAGUGUUUUUUGUUUGUUUGUUUUUUGUUGUUUUAAAUGGAGAGAGCUUAGUCCUUAAUGCCAGAGUAGAAGUGCCUAUUAAACUCUGCUGUUUACAAGCUCUGAGCUCUUUAAGUAAUUAUUUAAAUUCCUGGAACUUUGGUUUCCAGGCCAUAAUUUUUUCCUUGCAAAAGUGUUUCCAUAACCAGGGUUAAUACAUGUAAAGCAUUUACUACUAUAACUAUCUUAUCUCCACCCUUCUACCUUCCUCCAAGUAACCAGCACAGCCCUUUACACAAAUUAGGUACUCUAAAAAUUUGGGAAAUAAAUGACCCCGUGGUUUUGUACCAAAUGCUACUAAUAAAGACAGAAAAGUCAGAUGUAGCUGUAGCUUAAUGAAAAGAUGUGAGGGAGGUAUUGAGAGAGGCAAUAUUUUAGAGCUAGAAGAGUAGUUGGAACUAGACAUACUGAUGUGGGAGUCAGCAACAUAGAGGUGAUAGUUAAAGACAAGAGAAUGGAUGAUAUUCCCAAGAGAAAAUCUAAAGAAAAGAUAAUUGAGCUAAAAACAGAAUAUUGAAUAAUUAGAGACAGAUAGAAGAAAAGAAGUCUGCUGCAAAUGCUGAGAAAAAGUGGUCAAAGUCAGCGAAGAAGAUUCUAACCCAGUUUCUCAACCUUGGUGCUAUUGACAUUUGAGGCCAAAUCUAUCUUUGUAGUGGUGGCCAGAGUUUACCAUUUAGCAAUGUCCUAAGCUAAGCCUCUACCAACUAUAUGCCAGUACUACUCCCUACUCCUCGAGUUGUGAUAACCAAAAAGAUUUCCAAACAUUGCCAGAUGUCCCUGGGGUACACAAUUGUCCCCAGUUGAGAACCAUUGGUCUAUCCUUAAUCCACCAAAUUUGCUCCUUUCCUAGUUUUUUUUUUUUCUUUCAUCUCAGUGAAAUGUUAUGCCUUCCACUCAGAUAUACAAGUCAGACCUUGGAGUCUUCAUUUUUUAGAAACUGAAGAAUAUUUUAUUAUUUAUUAAAGUAAAUGAAGUAACAAUUUCACAGUCUUUUUACAUAGGUCUCUAACUCUUCAAGACUAAAGACAUUAAGAGUUGCAAUUAAGUUGUUCAGUAGCGAUAAUUUUAGCAAAUUUAGAGAAAUAUGCGCCUACUUAGUAAAGUAACAGGAAUUAAAAAUUUUAUCAACUCCAGCUAGGUUUAAUUUAUGGUAAACAUUUGACUUGAGGUGAAAACAGUCCCAACUUAGAGCUGCUUCUAUCAACGUGGACUAUUUAUACCACAGUUAGAUUUAUUUAUUUAUUUGUUUGUUCGUUUUUAUGCUUUGUGGUAAAGCAUACAUAAUAUAAACUUUACCAUCUUAACAAUUUUUAAAUGUACAGUUCAAUAAGGUAAAGUAUAUUCUCAUUGUUG
ensembl:lncRNA